AGCAGCCGCGGUAAUUCCAGCUCCAAUAGCGUAUAUUAAAGUUGUUGCAGUUAAAAAGCUCGUAGUUGAAUUUCGGGAUUGACACAUCGGUCGUGCCUUAAGGGGUAUGAACUGGUGUAGUCAAUUUCUCACCUUCUGGAGAACCGCGAUGCCCUUAAUUGGGUGUCACGGGGAACCAGGACCUUUACUUUGAAAAAAUUAGAGUGUUUAAAGCAGGCAUUUUGCUUGAAUACAUUAGCAUGGAAUAAUAAAAUAGGACGGCAUGAUUCUAUUUUGUUGGUUUCUAGGAUCACCGUAAUGAUUAAUAGGGAUAGUUGGGGGCAUUAGUAUUCAAUUGUCAGAGGUGAAAUUCUUGGAUUUAUUGAAGACUAACUACUGCGAAAGCAUUUGCCAAGGAUGUUUUCAUUAAUCAAGAACGAAAGUUAGGGGGUCGAAGACGAUCAGAUACCGUCGUAGUCUUAACCAUAAACUAUGCCGACUAGGAAUCAGACGAUGUUAAUUUUUUAAUGACUCGUUUGGCACCUUACG
rnacentral:misc_RNA from 1 species